GGUCCAGUGGCAGGCGAACGGCAGCGCGAAGGACCUGCCCGUGGGUUCGAUCCCCACCAGGCUCUCCA
rnacentral:tRNA from 1 species